GGGGCUAUAGCUCAGCUGGGAGAGCGCCUGCCUUGCACGCAGGAGGUCUGCGGU
rnacentral:tRNA from 1 species